rnacentral:rRNA from 1 species
GGAAGGAUCAUUACUGAGUGAGGGCCCUCAUGGGUCCAACCUCCCACCCGUGUUUAUUUACCUUGUUGCGUUCGGCGGGCCCGCCUUAACUGGCCGCCGGGGGGCUUACGCCCCCGGGCCCGCGCCCGCCGAAGACACCCUCGAACUCUGUCUGAAGAUUGUAGUCUGAGUGAAAAUAUAAAUUAUUUAAAACUUUCAACAACGGAUCUCUUGGUUCCGGCAUCGAUGAAGAACGCAGCGAAAUGCGAUACGUAAUGUGAAUUGCAAAUUCAGUGAAUCAUCGAGUCUUUGAACGCACAUUGCGCCCCCUGGUAUUCCGGGGGGCAUGCCUGUCCGAGCGUCAUUGCUGCCCUCAAGCACGGCUUGUGUGUUGGGCCCCGUCCUCCGAUUCCGGGGGACGGGCCCGAAAGGCAGCGGCGGCACCGCGUCCGGUCCUCGAGCGUAUGGGGCUUUGUCACCCGCUCUGUAGGCCCGGCCGGCGCUUGCCGAUCAACCCAAAUUUUUAUCCAGGUUGACCUCGGAUCAGGUAGGGAUACCCGCUGAACUAAGCAUAU